UACGGAGGGUGCGAGCGUUGUCCGGAAUCACUGGGCGUAAAGGGCGCGUAGGCGGCCUGAUAAGUAGGGGGUGAAAUCCUGCGGCUUAACCGCAGGGCUGCCUUCUAAACUGUCGGGCUAGAGCACGGUAGAGGCAGAUGGAAUUCCCGGUGUAGCGGUGGAAUGCGUAGAGAUCGGGAAGAACAUCAGUGGCGAAGGCGGUCUGCUGGGCCGGUACUGACGCUGAGACGCGAAAGCGUGGGGAGCGAACAGG
rnacentral:rRNA from 1 species